UUAACAAAGGAACAGGUUGUGCUGGUUCUGAAGUCUCUUCUGUUAGAGAGACUUCAGAACCAGCACAACCUGUUCCUUUGUUAA